rnacentral:rRNA from 1 species
GAUAGCAGUCGCCACGGUAAUACAGAGGGUGCGAGCGUUAAUCGGAUUUACUGGGCGUAAAGCGUGCGUAGGCGGCUUCUUAAGUCGGAUGUGAAAUCCCUGAGCUUAACUUAGGAAUUGCAUUCGAUACUGGGAAGCUAGAGUAUGGGAGAGGAUGGUAGAAUUCCAGGUGUAGCGGUGAAAUGCGUAGAGAUCUGGAGGAAUACCGAUGGCGAAGGCAGCCAUCUGGCCUAAUACUGACGCUGAGGUACGAAAGCAUGGGGAGCAAACAGGAUUAGAUACCCGAGUAGUCCCUGUCUCUUAUAC